UCGGUCUUGACUAGGCCAGACAGUGGGGACUUGUUCCCGCGAAUGAAGGCGUAGAGAAAUCAAAUCGUGUGAUCGGUUGGGCAACAACAGCCUGGCCGCGCAACAUGUGCCUGUUCGAUAGUUGUGUUAGCAAUAACCAACUGAGCGGAGUAAAGAGAUGCCCGAUUGGGACCCGAAAGAUGGUGAACUAUGCUUGGGCAAAUUGAAGCCAGAGGAAACUCUGGUGGAGGAUUGUAGCGAUUCUGACGUGCAAAUCGAUCGUCAGACCUGAGUAUAGGGGCGAAAGACUAAUCGAACCAUCUAGUAGCUGGGUUCCUUCCAA
rnacentral:rRNA from 1 species